GCUGUAGUCAAUGAACUAUACAUAGGUAUUACAUAGGUAUUCCUCCUGUCCAGAUGGGAUAGGGCAGUGUGAUGGUGAUUGCAUAGUCAGUGGACCUAUUGGGGCGGUAAGCAAAUUGGAGUGGGUCUUGGGUAUCAGGUAGGGUGGAGGUGAUAUGAUCCUUGACUAGUCUCUCAAAGCACUUCAUGAUGACAGAAGUGAGUGCACUGGGGCGAUAGUCAUUUAGUUCAGAUACCUUAGCUUUCUUGGGAACAGGGACAAUGGUGGCCAUCUUGAAGCAUGUGGGGACAACAGACUGGGAUAGUGGUUGGUUGAAUAUGUCCGUAAACACACCAGCCUGCUGGUCUGCGCAUGCUCCAAGGACGCAGCUAGGGAUGGCGUCUGGGCCGGCAGCCUUGUGAGGGUUAACACGUUUAAAUGUUUUACUCACGUUGGCCACGGAGAAGGAGAGCCCACAGGCUUUGGUAGCGAGCCGUGUCAGUGGCACUGUAUUAUUCUCAAAGCGAGCAAAGAAGUUAUUUAAUUUGUCUGGGAGCAAGACGUCGAUGUCCGCAACGGGGAUGGUUUUCUUUUUGUAAUCCGUGAUUGACUGUAGACCCUGUCACAUACGUCUCGUGUUUGAGCCGUUGAAUUGCGACUACUUUGUCUCUCGAAGUUCAAGUAGCAAUGAUCCAGAAUUCUGCCAGCUCGUGUCGCGGAUUCGUUAUGCUAAUAUAAUUUAGGGAGUAUUGAUCUUAGGUUAGCUUUGUUAAAAUCCCCAGCUACAAUAAAUGCAGCCUCAGGAUGUAUAGUUUCCAGUUUACAGAGUCCAGUGAAUUUCUUUCAGGGCCGACGAGGUAUCUGCUUGGGGGGGCGGAUAUACACGGCUGUGACUAUAAUCGAAGAGAAUUCUCUUGGACGAUAAUGUGGUCGGCAUUUGAUUAGAUAUUUGUUUCUGUCGGCCCGAUGCGUGAAGAAACCGGGUGGCUGUACCAACUCUGACAACAUAUCCCAAAGAUUGGACAUUGGUGAGUAAUAUCCUUGAAAGCGGUGGAUGGUGUGCUCGGCGUCUGACCAGUAGGCCGCUCCAUCUGCCUCUCCUGUGGCGACCGCGUUGUUUUGGGUCAGCCACUGGGAUAAGAUUGCAUGUCCAGGGUCGAGGUCUGAACAAAGGAUCCACUUCGAUCCACAGACGUAUUCCUGGUAAUGAUGGACCCGAAGCGAGUCGACCCUCUGUCGGCGCCAGCUGAUUCUCCUCAGAGACAUGGAGGAAGAGGAAGGGGACAAUGCUGUGAAGGCAUGUUGUGAGGGAGAUGUGGGCCGUUCCAGUACCAGCGGGUGACAGUUACUCCCCUGAACCAGCAAAACAAGACCAGCUAAUUCACACUGACUCCAGGCUGCAACUGCUCCUUCCUGUUGAAGAUUUCCUGUCUGUGUGUCCAAAGCCCCGACCCUGACUACAGCCUACCCCAGACCUAGGUACUGUACAGCCCAACUGUCUACUGCCUAAUAGGUCUGGGUGCCAUUUAACAAGUCAAAACACCAUCUAUGCCUGCAAAGAGUCAAGGUCAUUAAAAACUUCUUCAGGAUCGGUGGGUCCCCUGCGGGACUGUUGAGCUAACGUGGGCUAAUGCGAUUAACAUGUGGGUGUAAGGAACAAUAACAUUUCCCAGAACAUAGACAUACAGUUGAAGUCGUAAGUUUACAUACACCUUAGCCAAAUACAUUUAAACUCAGUUUUUCACAAUCCCUGACAUCUAAUCGUAGUACAAAUUCCCUGUCUUAGGUCAGUUAGGAUCACCACUUUAUUUUAAGUAUGUGAAAUGUCAGAAUAAUAGCAGAGAGAAUUAUUUAUUUCAGCUUUUAUUUCUUUCAUCACAUUCCCAGUGGGUCAGAAGUUUACAUACACUCAAUUAGUAGGCCUCCUUGCUCGCACACGCUUUUUAAGUUCUGCCCACAAUUGUUCUAUCGGAUUGAGGUCAGGGCUUUGUGAUGGCCACUCCAAUACCUUAGUAUGCUUGGGGUCAUUGUCCAUUUGGAAGACCCUUUUGCGACCAAGCUUUAACUGAUGUCUUGAGACGUUGCUUCAAUAUAGCCACUUAAUUUUCCUUUCUCAUGAUGCCAUCUAUUUUAUGAAGUGCACCAGUCCCUCCUACAGGAAAGCACCCCCACAAAAUGAUGGUGCCCCCCCGUGCUUCACUGUUGGGAUGGUGUUCUUUGGCUUGCAAGCCCUCUUUUUCCUCCAAACACAAAGAUGGUCAUUAUGACCAAACAGUUCUAUUUUUGUUUCAUCAAACCAGAGUACAUUUCUCCUAAAAGCACAAUCUUUGUCCCCAUUUGAAGUUGCAAACCAUAGUCUGGCUUUUUAUGGCGGUUUUGGAGCAGUGGCUUCUUCCUUUCUGAGCGGCCUUUCAGGCUAUGUCGAUAUAGGACGCGUUUUAAUGUGGCUAUAGAUCAUUUUGUACCUGUUUCCUCCAGCAUCUUCACAAAGUCCUUUGCUGCUGUUCUGGUAUUGAUUUGCACAUUUCGCACCAAAGUACGUUCAUCUCUGGGAGACAGAACGUGCCUCCUUCCUGAGCGGUAUGACGGCUGCGUGGUCCAUGGUGUUCAUAAUUACGUACUAUUGUUUGUACAGAUGAACAUGGUACCUUCAGGCGUUUGGAAAUUGCUCCCAAGGAUGAACCAGACUUGUGGAGGUCUAUUUUUUUUCUGAAGUCUUGGCUGAUUUCUUUUGAUCCUCCCAUGAUGUCAAGCAAAGAGGCACUGAGUUUGAAGGUAGGUCUUGAAAUACAUCCACAGGUACACCUCCAAUUGACUCAAAUGAUGUCAAUUAGCCUAUCAGAAGCUUCUAAACUGACAAAAUGACAUCAUUUUCUGGAAUUUUCCAAGCUGUUUAAAGGCACAGUCAACUUAGUGUAUGUAAACGUCUGACCCACUGGAAUUGUGAUAUAGUGAAUUAUAAGUGAAAUAAUCUGUUUGUAAACAAUUGUUGCAAAAAUUACUUGUGUCAUGCACAAAGUAGAUGUCCUAACCGACUAUAGUUGUUAACAAGACAUUUGUGGAGUGGUUGAAAAAUGAGUUUUAAUGACUCCAAACUAAUUGUAUGUAAACUUCCGACUUCAACUGUAUCUGAUAUUGCCCACCCAACUACAUCAUCCCCAUAUUGCUUUGUUUUUUUGGUCCUUUGUACCCCAGUAUCUCUACUUGCACAUCAUCUUCUGCACAUCUAUCACUCCAGUGUUUAUUUGCGAAAUGUUAAUUAUUUUGCAACUAUGGCCUAUUUAUUGCCUUACCUCCCUAAUCCUACUACAUUUGCACUAACUGUAUUUGUCAUUGACUGUACGUUUGUUUAUCCCAUGGGUAACUCUGUGUUGUUUGUAUCGCACUGCUUUGCUUUAUCUUGGCCAGGUCGCAGUUGUAAAUGAACUUGUUCUCAACUGGCCUGCCUGGUUAAAU
ensembl:lncRNA